rnacentral:rRNA from 1 species
AUACGGAGGGUGCAAGCGUUAUUCGGAAUCACUGGGCGUAAAGGACGCGUAGGCGGGUUGGCAAGUCAGAUGUGAAAUCCUACAGCUUAACUGUAGAACUGCAUUUGAAACUGCUAAUCUAGAGUAUGGGAGGGGGAGAUGGAAUUAGUGGUGUAGGGGUAAAAUCCGUAGAUAUCACUAGGAAUACCGAAAGCGAAGGCGAUCUCCUGGAACAUAACUGACGCUAAGGCGUGAAAGCGUGGGGAGCAAACAGGAUUAGAUACCCUAGUAGUCC